UGCCCAUUUAUUAAUUGGUUUAACGGUGUUAGGUUUUUUGAGUUUUUUAAAUGCAUUUUAGAUAUUAAUACUUUCAGAAGAGUGGCUAGCAAAGAUUUUCUCCCAUAGUAUAGGUUCUCUCUUUACAUUCCUAAUUGUUACUUUUGCUGUGCAGAAGCUUUUUAAUUUGACGCCAUACCAUUUAUUAACUCUUGGCAUUACUUCCUGAGCUUUUCCUAAAGAGAAAGUUAUUGCCUGUACCUAUGUAUUGGAGUAUUGACCCUAUGUUUUAUUCCAGGAGUUGCAUAGUUUUGGGGAUAAUUCCUAGGUCUGUGAUCUAUUUUGAGUUGACUUUUGUACAGGGUGACAGAUAAGGGUUUGGUUUCAUUCUUCUACAUAUGGAUAACCAGUUUUCCCAGCACUGUUUGUUAAAAAGACUGUCUUUUUUUCCAGUGUACAUUGUUGACAUCUUUGUCAAAGAUCAGAUGACUGUAGAUGUGGGGGUUUGUCUCUGUGUUUUCUGUUCUGUAUCAUCAGUCUAUGUUUUUUUAUGCCAGUCCUAUGAAAUUCUUGUUACUCUAUCUCUAUAGUAUAGUAUUAUGAUGCCUCCAACAUUGCAUUUUUUUUUGCUUAAAAUUGGAAAGCAAAGUUUUUAUUGGAAAAAUUUUUGAAAACUCCAGAAUGUCUUUUUUCUUAUGAGAAAUUCUCUGAACAGCAGUGACCUUGAACCAGUCUCUACACCUUAGUUUCAUUGCCUACAAAAUGAGAAUAAUACUGAACUUGUAAGAUUGUUGUGAAUUUCAGAAAUGAUAUGCAUAAAGGGUCUAACUAGCACAGUAGACUAUUGCGUGGGGAUGUGAAUGCCCAUUAUCACUCAGAUGGGAGAUGGGGUAGGCUGGGAUGUCUUCUUUCCUAGCAGACCUCUUGGCACUCUGCCCAUUUCCCGAACACUUUCCGUUUUUCUGUGUGCUGACUUGAUUAUACAAGACUCAGGUUGGAAGAGUCAGUGCCUUUCAAAGAGUAGGGAGAAGCCACUUAUCAAUGACUGAGGGAAGUUGGUGGAUAAGUAUCCAGCUCCCUUGUCUUUUGGAGUGAACAGAACCUGAGGUUGGUCUUCAGAACUGUGUCUGAGAUUAAGACCCAUUUGCUUACCAUGGUAAUUUGCUUGGUUUUAUGUCUGCCUUCUGUCCCUAUUUCAUUUUUCCACUUCCCUGUGACUAUUUCCAUGGAUCACCCCCUCCCCCCCAUAUAAACUGUGUAAGUGCUAGUCUUUGUUUCAGGGUAUUUUUCUGAAUGAACCUCAACUAAGAUCCUUAGUUAUUUCCAAGUGUAUUGGUUUGGCUUCUCUAGAGAAAAAGAAUCAGUAGUGUGUAGGUAUAGAUUACUCUAAGGGAUUGGCUCAUACACUUAUGGUAACUAAGAAACCAAGGGUCUGUAGUUGGCAAGCUGGAGUCCAAAGAGAACCUAUAGUAUAAUUCUAGUCUGAGUCAGAAGAUCUGAGGAGCAGGAGAGACAAUGGUGUAAAUUCUAGACUGGGUCCUAGUCCAGGGGCAGGAGAAGACGGAUAUCCCAGCUUCAUGACAAUAAUGCGACUUAUUUGGGGAGUACCUCCUAUGUGCCUGGUAUUGCAGCAUAUAUGAAAAACCAUAUGAUGCCUCUGGACAUCCCAAAGCUUACAGUUUUAUGCCUGGGAAACAUAUUGGACAGCUUUGUAGAGGACAGAGCAAGACAGCAUAAAAUACAUGCUCCUUUAAAACAUAUUUAGGAAAUAAAUUGAAUUUCAACCAUAGUUGAAUGAAAAGCAAUAAAAAUAUUAACAAUA